CAAAUGGCCCUUUUCAGGGCCACAAAAUUUUUUUAACGAAGGCAUA
rfam:Trachymyrmex cornetzi contig49937, whole genome shotgun sequence.